UACAGAGGUGGCAAGCGUUGUUCGGAAUUACUGGGCGUAAAGGGCGCGUAGGUGGCCUUCUUAGUCAGACGUGAAAUCCCCGGGCUUAACUCGGGAACUGCGUCUGAUACUGGAAGGCUCGAGUUCGGGAGAGGAAUGUGGAAUUCCAGGUGUAGCGGUGAAAUGCGUAGAUAUCUGGAGGAACACCGGUGGCGAAGGCGGCAUUCUGGACCGAAACUGACGCUGAGGCGCGAAAGCCAGGGGAGCGAACGGG
rnacentral:rRNA from 1 species